GCAGUAGCGUCAGUAAGGAGGGUGAAGCUCCGACUCAAUCGGGAAAUGCUUUCAACUAGCUGACUGAGAUCGGAAGGGGAAGCGGAUUAGCGGUGUAAGGGUGAAUCUGUAGAUAUCGCUAAGAACACGGCGGCGAAGGCGGCUUCCUGGUCCGAUUCUGACGCUGAAUUGCGAAAGCUAGGGGAGCGAACAGAAUUAGAUACUCUGGUAGUCCUAGCCGUAAACGAUGAGUACUAGGUGUUGGGGCGUAAGCCUCAGUGCCGCAGCUAACGCAUUAAGUACUCCACCUGGGGACUACGGCCGCAAGGCUAAAACUCAAAGGAAUUGACGGGGACCCGCACAAGCGGUGGAACAUGUGGUUUAAUUCGAUGCUACGCGAAGAACCUCACCUAGGCUUGACAUGCUCGUCGUAUCCCUAUGAAAGUAGGGAGUCGGUUCGGCCGGACGAUGCACAGGUGCUGCAUGGCUGUCGUCAGCUCGUGUCGUGAGAUGUUGGGUUAAGUCCCGCAACGAGCGCAACCAUUGCCCUAUGUUGCCACCACAUAUUUCCUCACGGAAAGAUGUGAGCACUCUUGGGGGACUGCCUGGGAUAACCAGGAGGAAGGUGGAGAUGACGUCAAGUCAGUACGGCCCUUAUGCCUAGGGCUACACACGUGUUACAAUGGCAGGUACAAAGGGUUGCCAACCCGCGAGGGGGAGCUAAUCUCAAAAACCCUGCCCCAGUUCGGAUAAGAGUCUGCAAUCCGACUCUUUGAAGCCGGAAUCGCUAGUAAUGGGAGAUCAGAACGCUCCCGUGAAUACGUUCCCGGGUCUUGUACACACCGCCCGUCAAGCGAUGGAAGCCGGGGGUACCCGAAGUCCUAUGUAGAUAGGCCGAAGGUAAAACUGGUGACUGGCGCUAAGUCGUAACAAGGUAACCAAGGG
rnacentral:rRNA from 1 species